rnacentral:rRNA from 1 species
AUUGAACGCUGGCGGCAUGCCUUACACAUGCAAGUCGAACGGUAACGGGCCUUCGGGUGCCGACGAGUGGCGAACGGGUGAGUAAAGUAUCGGAACGUACCUUUCAGUGGGGGAUAACGUAGCGAAAGUUACGCUAAUACCGCAUAUUCUGUGAGCAGGAAAGCAGGGGAUCGCAAGACCUUGCGCUGAUUGAGCGGCCGAUAUCAGAUUAGCUAGUUGGUGAGGUAAAGGCUCACCAAGGCGACGAUCUGUAGCGGGUCUGAGAGGAUGAUCCGCCACACUGGAACUGAGACACGGUCCAGACUCCUACGGGAGGCAGCAGUGGGGAAUUUUGGACAAUGGGGGCAACCCUGAUCCAGCCAUGCCGCGUGAGUGAAGAAGGCCUCCGGGUUGUAAAGCUCUUUCGGCCGGGAAGAAAUCGUAUCAGCUAAUACCUGGUGCGGAUGACGGUACCGGCAUAAGAAGCACCGGCUAACUACGUGCCAGCCGCCGCCGUAAAAC